rnacentral:rRNA from 1 species
GUAGUCUCGCACAGAUGCAUAUCAAUAAGCGGAGGAAAAGAAACUAACUAGGAUUCCCUCAGUAACGGCGAGUGAAGCGGGAAGAGCUCAAAUUUGAAAUCUUCAAGGGUUCUACCUUUACGAAUUGUAGUUUAAAGAAGUGUUUUCUGUUGAGGUUUUGGUAAAAGUUUCUUUGGAAUAGGACAUCAUAGAGGGUGAGAAUCCCGUAUUUGACCAUUACUUUCCAACUUUGUGAUACACUUUCAAAGAGUCGGAUUGUUUGGGAAUGCAGUCCAAAAUGGGUGGUAAAUUUCAUCUAAAGCUAAAUAUUGGCGAGAGACCGAUAGCGAACAAGUACCGUGAGGGAAAGAUGAAAAGAACUUUGAAAAGAGAGUUAAACAGUACGUGAAAUUGUCAAAAGGGAAGCGUUUGACACCAGUGUUGUUUUCUCGAAAAUCAAUUAAAAAAGGCAGGAUUUUGUGUUGUAUAGACUUUAUCAGCUUUCUGCACUCUUUUCUUGUCUUUUUUUAAUGCACUUUUCGUUUAACAAGUCAACAUCAAUUUCUUUUGUUGUAAAAGGGUCAUUGGAAGGUGGCUUUCUUUUCGGAGAAAGUGUUUAUAGCCUUUGGCCUCCGCAAUCGGAGAGAUUGAGGUCUGCUAGCGUAGAUCCUUCGGGGUUAGAUACAUUUGUGCUAAGUUAUAGCCUUUCAUAGACAACUUGUUGACUAUGAUCAGUCAUGUAGCUUACUCGCUUAUGCUAUUUUACCUACGCUUAGGAUGUUGAAGUCAUCGUAUCGCGC